CCUUGGGGUCGCAAACAGUUACUGAAGAGGUGCUGAGGACAAUUCUAGUGGAAGUAGAAGGGAUCUUAAACGCAAAACCUUUGGGGUACGUUUCUUCCAAUUUAGCUGAUCUUGACCCAGUGACCCCCAACUAUCUGCUUAUGGGGCAACCUGACUCAUCUCUUCCUCAGGUUGUCUAUCCUGAAUCAGAUCUCUUGACUAGAAGGAGAUGGAGACACAGCCAGGUGCUGGCAGUUAGUUUUUGGUCAUGCUUUCUUAAGUAUUACCUACCAAAUCUUCAGACACGUCAGAAGUGGCAGAAAGAGGCAGCUAAUCUAGCUGAUGGAAAGGUAGUAAUGCUUCUUGAUCCACAGUUACCCAGAGCUUCAUGGCCUGUAGGUAGAGUGCUGCGCGUCAUACCAGGAGCUGAUGGACAAGUUCGAACAGCUGAAGUAAGGAUUAAUGGAAGAGUGUAUACUCGACCUGUGACCCGACUUAUAGAACUUCCAGAAAUAUCUGACGAUGAGCCUUCCAGUGAAAAACCUUCAGAAUGACGUAAGAGGUCAAAUGGCGGCUGUAAAAAAGGCUCCUGUGCCUUUAAGGCACUGAAGCAUGAUCACGUGAAAACCGUGGUGUGUGCAGUGAGCAUGUGCGUUUGUGAGAUGUACCUCGUGAAAGCCGGAACUACUGGAGCCACUAGAGAAAGUUUAAGUUUGUGCGUUGUUGACCAAAUACUGACGAUGGCUGAAGCCCAGCUGUUUGUGUCACAGGACGAGUUCACCUGCUCGGUGUGUCUGGACACUCUGACUGACCGCAUGUCACUGCAUUGUGGUCACAGUUUCUGUCUGAAGUGCCUCACAGACUGCUGGGAUCAGAGCCAAGAGUGCUGCUGUCCUCAAUGCAGAGAAAACUUCACCACAAGGCCUGCUCUGUGAAGAAAUAAUCUGCUGAAUGAAGUCAUCAAGAAAUUAAAGAAGACAACAAUCAGUCCUCCUCCUUCUCCUCCUUCUCCUCCUCCUCAGAAUUAAACCGGCCCUGGAGACGUGGAUUGUGACUUCUGUACUAGUAAGAAGUUCAGAGCGGUGAAGUCCUGUCUCACCUGCAUGGCCUCCUACUAUCAGACUCACCUGCAGCCUCACUAUGAAGGAGACGCCUGGAAGGGACACAAGCUGACUGAUCCUGACAGAAAUCUGAAGGAGAAACUCUGUUAGAAACAUCAGAAAAGUUGGGAGAUAUUCUGUAAAACUGAUGAUUGCUGUAUCUGCAUGAUGUGUGUGGUGACUGGACAUAAUGGGCAUAAAAUGGUUGAGCUGGAGACAGAAAGGGAAGAAAAGCAGGUAAAUAUUUCCAAGUUGAUUCUCUGAUCUAUUACUCAGUAACAGAGAGGAGAAAUUGCCGAAAGUCUGGAUGACCUCAACGUCAUGGUGAUUCUCACCGACUUUCCAGAAAGUGAGAACGCCUAUUUUGAUUCCGGAUCGGGGAAUCCUUACCAGCACAACAACCUCCAAAUGGCAGGAAUCGGGACACCACAGCCGAUAACGAGUUUAACGAUAAUACCACGAAUUUUUAUGAGUGUGCAGACUGCGGGAAGAAGUUAUUGCAAAAGCGUUACCUCUGCAUACACGAGAGAAGUCACACCGGGGAGAAGCAGUACCACUGCAAUGAUUGUGGAAAGUCAUUUGCGUGUAAACCGUAUCUCCAGACACACCAUACGAUUCCUGCCUGAGUGAAGCCGUACUGCUGCUCCUACUGCAGUUAAGCCUUUGUGUGUAAGGUGUACCUCCAGACUCACCAGAAGACUCAUUCCAGAGAGAAGCCGCACUGCUGCACAGAAUGCAGGAAGCAUUUUAUUUACAAGCGCCACUUCCUGGAGCACCUGAAGACACACAGCGAAGACAAGCCAUUUAGCUGCAGUGAGUGCGGGGAGAGUUUCACAGACAAAAGAUCCCUUCAACACCACCAGAGGUGUCACACCAGCAAAAACACCUUCUUCUGCAAGGAGUGUGGGAAGACGUUUGCCUACAAGAACAGCCUCAAAUUCCAUGAGUAAAUUCACACCCGGGAGCAGCCGCACUGCUGUAUGGAGUGUGGGAAGAGCUUCAUUCGUAAAAUCGACCUUCAGCGACAUCAUCUGUCGCACACUGGCGAGAGACCCUACGGCUGUGUGAAAUGUGGAAAGAGGUUCACAAAGUAAAGAAUCCUUCAGCACCAUCAACAGCUUCCCAGCUGAGACAAGAUAUUCAGCUGCAAGGAGUGCAGGAAGACCUUUGCCUACAAGUACAGCCUGAAGGGCCACCAGCAGAUUAUGGUGGACAAACUGCAUUCUUGUAGCGAUUAUGGAAAGAGGUUCAUACGUAAAACCAAACUCCUGCAGCAUCAGAGAAUCCACACCGGAGAGAAGCCACACAAUUGCCCCGUGUGUGGGAAAUGCCUCCAAGUGGUCGGCGGACUGCAAGAGCAUUUGGUCAUUCACACCGGGGAGUAUCCGUAUUUCUGUAACCAGUGUGGGAAAAGAUUUAGACUGAAGGGGGAACUUCAGCAGCAUCAGAGGAUUUACAAAGUGGGGAGCAGCCAUUUUGUUGCCAAGAUUGUGGGAUGACCUUCAUCUACAGCUGGUACCUUCAACACCACAUGAAAAUUCACACCGGGGAGAAGCCGUACUCCUGCGUUCACUGCAGGAAGAAAUUUACACACAAGUGCAAUCUUCGGCAGCAUCAGGUUAUCCACACAGGAGAGAAGCGGUUCUUCUACAUGGACUGUGGGCAAGGACUCACUUAUAGAAGCCCUACUCUUGUACUAAAUGUGGGAAGAGAUUCCGCGGAUUAAACACUCUGCUGAAGCACAGGAGAAUCUAUGCCAAAAACCUGGCCUCAAACGAGGCAGAGAAGCUCGAACAGCUUGCAGGAGAGUUACCGCUCUGUCUGUGUUAUUGACGUGACUCUUUGGGGGUUAAACAGACAUAUCUGCUAGUGUACAAGUGCCCACCCGAAUGAUCCGAGGCAUCUUGUCUAUUCUCGUUUAAAGGGAUUUCUUGGGUGGAGACCUCCCUCGGUAAUCCCUGAAGACCAGGACAUUUGUUACUACAGAGCUGUCACAGAUCACUUCACGUUCAUGGGUGAACCCUGUGAACGCUCCGACAACAAAAAUGAAUAGGAAGUUUGUAAUAUAUUUGGAGCUUACUUCUUGCUUUAACCAUCCUUUAACCAUCUGUGCUUCGCCAUUUCCUGUGCAUGGAAAAUCAAGACUGUGGCUUUAAGGCGGGUACGGGGAUGGAGGUUUUUAAAUCUUAACGUGAGUGUUCUGAGUCAUUGCAAGUGUGCUCUCUCAGAAAUGUGAAUACUCUAAACAAUGAUGGCGGUGUCCGGGAUUAUUUUUGGAAAGGCGGAGACAAAACGGCUCAUGACAAACAACCGUAGAAUUUAGUAAAGGGUCAUGGAGUUCAAGCGGAAACCUUGAGAACUUUUAAAAUGGCGUCUGAAGAAGAUAUUAGAUAGCGUCACACCAUACAACUUCAAGUUGGAAAGAACCUCACACUUAACAACUGGACUUGCUGGAUCUGAUGAUGUUGAAUUUUAUGACUUGAAAUUAUACACGAUAACCGUUAGACCGGCGUCACACUACACACGUCUGAGUCGGAGAACAUGUCACACUGCACAACUGGAUUUACAUGACCUCAUUGCUUUGAAUUACAGGAUUUGGAAUCACAGGCAAUGACCGUUAGGCUGGCAUCACACUACACAACUUCAAGUUGGAGUGCAUUUCAAAUUUUAAGACCUUUAGUUGCCGGGCUUCUUUCUUGCAUUACACGAAUAGGAAUGGUGCGGUAUAAUGGAUGACAUGACUCCUUCACAAUAUUUUUCUAAGGAUUGCCAGCUUACUGCAUGUUGUCAAAUCAAUUAAUGUGCUGCAUUUGGCCAACAUCACAGUACGAGACUUCAAGUUGGGGAACAUGUCUGACGAGAACAGGACUUGCUGUGUUUGGUCUCUGUGAGGAGGUCAGAUUGCACGACUAGGAUUCACAUAGGAUUACAGUUUCCACGAUUCCAUCGCAAAUUCUCAGCAGCUUUAAAUUUCUGAAUUAUCACAAGUUCACUGUAUUUUGACAUCUGCUUAAUGUCCUGUGUUAAUUCAAAUGUCAUUCUACCCGAUUUUAAUGACUUUAAUUGGUGGGCAUCUAACGACUAAUGAAUUCUAUGACUCCCUCGUGAAUUUUCUGCCCAGUUUCUACUUUUCUAAGCAUUUCAGACUCAUUGUAUUUUGACACCAAUUACUAUGCUGUCUGAUUCUAGAAUUACAAUGCCAAUGUCUAGUCAAAGAGCAUGUCACACUUAACAGCUACACCUACCUGGUCUCAUUUCCUUCAAGGCGUCUGAUCUUAUGAUUAGGAAUCACAAUAAGUGACUGUAAGGCCAGCUUCACACUUUAUGACUUUGAGUUGGAUGGCAUGUCACACUUAAUACAGUUGGUGGAUCACGUUGCUGUAAAUGUGUCUGAUCUCCUGACUAGGAGUCACCUUAAAUGACCAUUUAGCCAAUGUGACACUAUUUGACUUUAAGUUGGACAACGUCACACUUAACAACUACAGUUGGUGGAUCUCGUUGCCUUAAAGAUCUGAGAUUACACAUCUCGGAAUGUCAGGGUCUUACUGAUGACAAGACUCUCUUUGACUUUUCUGCUCACCUUCUAAUUUCCACAGUAUCUCCGUUUUGUUGACAGCCAGUUAUCAUACUGGAAUAAGAAGGUGUCACAGUAUUCAGACUCCAAGCUGGACAGCGUGUGACGCUCAAUGACUGUGAUAGCUGUGUCUCAUUGCCCACCACGCAAUUAGGAUUUGCAGAGCGUGAAGGUUACACGACUCACUCACAACUUCUCAGCAGAGAUUCAGAUUCCCUUUUGCACCGUAUCAGGGGGAAUCAAAAAGUAAAGGCAACUUCCCCUUUAACAUCGGUACCCAUGAGCAGUCCUAUCACUUCUCCACAUGAUCUUCCAGUCGGUUGUAUCACUUCCACUAAAUUCUUCAUUGGUUGGUAGAAGAAGAACCUUUCUGUCUGGCCACAAAUCCAGGUCAACACCGUAUCCUUAACCUUAUAAGACCCCAAUCCCUGACGCGGUCAAGUCAAAUCCACAAUGAGACACUGCUCUCCACAUGAUGGAGUUGAACUUCUCUUUGACAUCAAUGGCGACUCCUCCACCCUGUUGGUUUUGCCAGCCUUUCCUGACUGAUGUGUACACCUGCCGGACUCUGCUCUGAGAUAUUUCUAAAUUUAUAUUUAUUUUUUAGGCUGAUUUCUUUAUCUUAAUUUGUGAUACAAUUUGUUCAAUUUCAGUUCUCACAGACAAGACCACACCAGGAAUUUAUGACCUGGUGAGUCCCAUGGGGAUAUCACACUACACAGGCUGGAAGUCAUUGGUAUGUUUGCCGCAACUCUCCAUGGCGAUGGCUGAAAAGUUGUGUAGUGUGACGUGUAGCCAACUGAAUGAGCUCGAUGUCCUGAGCGUCUCCUAUUGUUUGUCAAACUUCAUUUUUGUAAGAACUAAACACACAAGGACUAUGGGGGUACCUGAGGUGUGUAAAUCUCAACAAGAUACCAGCCAAUGAUGUUAGAGAUGCCAUCGGAGGAUCAAACUGGAAAAAUGACAAACCGACCUUGACUACAUCCUGAUUUGCUUCACCCUUCACAUCCAAUGCCAGUCUGAUCUCUAAUAUUGAUGCAGUUAUUUUGGGACAAAUCUUAAUUUAUUUAAAUCUACAGACACAUUUUUUGAUCUCCUCAAGAAUCGUUUGCCACCCUUAGAUCUUUUUUUCCACCACUCACUACGCAAAGACUUUUUUAUAAUCGAUUUUCUACUACCAGACUCGAGCAAUUCUGUAAAUAGUGUUGAUUUACUGCCAUUCUUGUUUAUCGGGUGUGACAUCGUGGCAGGAUUUAUACAUUAAAGUGUCGUGUUUGUUUUGUGUACUGUAAUAGUUGUUUGUUAUCUUUAUUUAUCAAUAAAAUAACUUUUACCAUUUUA